UUGUUUUCAGACCCAAGAAUGUGCUGAUGGGCAAUGAGGUGAUAAGAAACUAUUAAAAAACAACUAAGAAUUUAAAUAUGAUGGUGGAAAAUUCCCAAGGGGAUUGGCUCUCCAGUUCCUGAACAGUGUACGAAGAAACAAUAGCAUAGCUCCCCGCGAUGGCUGCUUCCACCAUAACUUUCAUCUGAUGCCUGAUUCAUUUGAUACUCUAGAAAACAGCUCCCAAAAGAAGAGGCUGAUAGCAUUUUGCCUCCUUGAUGCCUCCUGACUGUACCAAGCCCAGAUUAUUGAAGACAAUUAAGGAAGAUUCUGAAGAUGCAGAGAUAAUGCUUUCCUAUGUGAUUAUGAUGGAAAUCAGGUCACAGCACUUGUCACUAG